GUUUCAAAUUUGGUUUAAACUAUCAUUUCCAUUUUUCUUCUUUAAAAAACAAAGUUUCUUUCUCUUCUUAAAAAGAACCAAAUCCCGACCACCCCAUUUUUGAGCCUAAUCCCGACGACGGAGAAGGACUCUCCAGUGCCAUGACCGCGAGUUCAGGUUGUGGGUGGCAUUGUGGACGUGGGCACUGAUGUGGUACGUGGGUGCAAACGUGGAAGAGCGGGAUGUAGGGCGGCCGACGAACAUGCGGCGCUGGUCAAAAGGGCGUGCUGCUUCCUUAUUUUCUGUUUUGGGUUUUAGUUUGGGCUAGGGUUGUGUUUUGGGCCUGUUGGGCUACUUUGUAUAUUUUGGGUUUUAAGUUUGGUUGUAACUGGGCUUUGUAAUUCUAGACUGUUGUUUAUUGGGCCCCGUGCUAAAAUUGGGCCUUACAUUUAUCAUUGUAUUAAUAUUUAUUAUUUUGUAAAAUAAUAAGUUUUUUUUAUUAUUUA